rnacentral:rRNA from 1 species
ACGAACGCUGGCGGCGCGCCUCACCCCUGCAAGUCGAACGAGCGAGAGAGAGCUUGCUUUCUCAAGCGAGUGGCGAACGGGUGAGUAACGCGUGAGGAACCUGCCUCAAAGAGGGGGACAACAGUUGGAAACGACUGCUAAUACCGCAUAAGCCCACGACCCGGCAUCGGGUAGAGGGAAAAGGAGCAAUCCGCUUUGAGAUGGCCUCGCGUCCGAUUAGCUAGUUGGUGAGGUAACGGCCCACCAAGGCGACGAUCGGUAGCCGGACUGAGAGGUUGAACGGCCACAUUGGGACUGAGACACGGCCCAGACUCCUACGGGAGGCAGCAGUGGGGAAUAUUGCACAAUGGGGGAAACCCUGAUGCAGCGACGCCGCGUGGAGGAAGAAGGUCUUCGGAUUGUAAACUCCUGUUGUUGAGGAAGAUAAUGACGGUACUCAACAAGGAAGUGACGGCUAACUACGUG